GACGAACCGUGCGAACGUUAUUCGGAAUCACUGGGCUUAAAGCGCGUGUAGGCGGGAGGGCACGUCCGUCGCUGAAAUCCCCCGGCUCAACCGGGGAACGGGCGCGGAUACGACCUUCCUGGAGGGGCGUAGGGGGACCUGGAACUUCCGGUGGAGCGGUGAAAUGCGUAGAUAUACGGAGGAACACCAGCGGCGAAGGCGGGUAGCUGGGCCAACACUGACGCUGAUGUGCGAAAGCUAGGGGAGCAAACGGG
rnacentral:rRNA from 1 species